rnacentral:rRNA from 1 species
CCUACGGGUGGCUGCAGUGGGGAAUAUUGGACAAUGGGCGAAAGCCUGAUCCAGCCAUGCCGCGUGUGUGAAGAAGGCCUUCGGGUUGUAAAGCACUUUCAGUGGGGAAGAAAGCCUUGGGGCUAAUACCCUCGAGGAAGGACAUCACCCACAGAAGAAGCACCGGCUAACUCCGUGCCAGCAGCCGCGGUAAUACGGAGGGUGCGAGCGUUAAUCGGAAUUACUGGGCGUAAAGCGCGCGUAGGCGGUCUGAUAAGCCGGUUGUGAAAGCCCCGGGCUCAACCUGGGAACGGCAUCCGGAACUGUCAGGCUAGAGUGCAGGAGAGGAAGGUAGAAUUCCCGGUGUAGCGGUGAAAUGCGUAGAGAUCGGGAGGAAUACCAGUGGCGAAGGCGGCCUUCUGGACUGGCACUGACGCUGAGGUGCGAAAGCGUGGGUAGCAAACAGGAUUAGAUACCCCAGUAGUC